AGUUGUUGCAACCUCGAACCCAUUACAUAGGCAGCAGGUUGUUGAUUCACUUAGUAGUCAUCCCGCUGUACGGCCAAUGUCACAUCAACAACAAUCUCAUGCAUUUUCAUCCCAAGAGGUUCACCUUUCAAAGAAAGAGAAGAAGAAGAAGAAGAAGAA